rnacentral:rRNA from 1 species
GCGAACGGGUGAGUAACACGUGGACAACCUGCCUCAAGGCUGGGGAUAACAUUUGGAAACAGAUGCUAAUACCGAAUAAAACUCAGUGUCGCAUGACACAAAGUUAAAAGGCGCUUUGGCGUCACCUAGAGAUGGAUCCGCGGUGCAUUAGUUAGUUGGUGGGGUAAAGGCCUACCAAGACAAUGAUGCAUAGCCGAGUUGAGAGACUGAUCGGCCACAUUGGGACUGAGACACGGCCCAAACUCCUACGGGAGGCUGCAGUAGGGAAUCUUCCACAAUGGGCGAAAGCCUGAUGGAGCAACGCCGCGUGUGUGAUGAAGGCUUUCGGGUCGUAAAGCACUGUUGUAUGGGAAGAACAGCUAGAAUAGGGAAUGAUUUUAGUUUGACGGUACCAUACCAGAAAGGGACGGCUAAAUACGUGCCAGCAGCCGCGGUAAUACGUAUGUCCCGAGCGUUAUCCGGAUUUAUUGGGCGUAAAGCGAGCGCAGACGGUUGAUUAAGUCUGAUGUGAAAGCCCGGAGCUCAACUCCGGAAUGGCAUUGGAAACUGGUUAACUUGAGUGCAGUAGAGGUAAGUGGAACUCCAUGUGUAGCGGUGGGAAUGCGUAGAUAUAUGGAAGAACACCAGUGGCGAAGGCGGCUUACUGGACUGUAACUGACGUUGAGGCUCGAAAGUGUGGGUAGCAAACAGGAUUAGAUACCCUGGUAGUCCACACCGU